rnacentral:rRNA from 1 species
GAUGAACGCUGGCGGCGUGCCUAAUACAUGCAAGUCGAGCGAACGGACGAGAAGCUUGCUUCUCUGAUGUUAGCGGCGGACGGGUGAGUAACACGUGGAUAACCUACCUAUAAGACUGGGAUAACUUCGGGAAACCGGAGCUAAUACCGGAUAAUAUUUUGAACCGCAUGGUUCAAAAGUGAAAGACGGUCUUGCGGUCACUUAUAGAUGGAUCCGCGCUGCAUUAGCUAGUUGGUAAGGUAACGGCUUACCAAAGCAACGAUGCAUAGCCGACCUGAGAGGGUGAUCGGCCACACUGGAACUGAGACACGGUCCAGACUCCUACGGGAGGCAGCAGUAGGGAAUCUUCCGCAAUGGGCGAAAGCCUGACGGAGCAACGCCGCGUGAGUGAUGAAGGUCUUCGGAUCGUAAAACUCUGUUAUUAGGGAAGAACAUAUGUGUAAGUAACUGUGCACAUCUUGACGGUACCUAAUCAGAAAGCCACGGCUAACUACGUG